rnacentral:rRNA from 1 species
UGGGGAAUAUUGGACAAUGGGGGGAACCCUGAUCCAGCCAUGCCGCGUGUGUGAAGAAGGCCUUAUGGUUGUAAAGCACUUUAAGCGAGGAGGAGGGUACUGGUAUUAAUACUACUAGGUACUGGACGUUACUCGCAGAAUAAGCACCGGCUAACUCUGUGCCAGCAGCCGCGGUAAUACAGAGGGUGCGAGCGUUAAUCGGAUUUACUGGGCGUAAAGCGUGCGUAGGCGGCUAAUUGAGUCGGAUGUGAAAUCCCCGAGCUUAACUUGGGAAUUGCAUUCGAUACUGGUUAGCUAGAGUGUGGGAGAGGAUGGUAGAAUUCCAGGUGUAGCGGUGAAAUGCGUAGAGAUCUGGAGGAAUACCGAUGGCGAAGGCAGCCAUCUGGCCUAACACUGACGCUGAGGUACGAAAGCAUGGGGAGCAAACAGG